GUCUUUUGAGUAUGUUUUAGUACACUUGCCUUCCAAGUAAGAAGAUUAGAUUAUUUUAAAGAAGCGCA
rnacentral:tRNA from 1 species